GACGAACGCUGGCGGCGUGCCUAAUACAUGCAAGUCGAACGCAGGGGGGACGGGUGAGUAACACGUGGGUAACCUCCCAUCAGAGGGGAUAACACUUGGAAACAGGUGCUAAACCGAUACUGAUAGAUGAACCCGCGGUGCAUUAGCUAGGUGGGGGGGUAACGGCUAACCAAGGCCACUAGGCAUAGCCGACCGUAGAGGGUGAUCGUCCACACUGUGACUGAGACACGGCCCAGACUCCUACGGGAGGCAGCAGUAGGGAAUCUUCGGCAAUGGACGAAAGGCUGACCGAGCAACGCCGCUUGAGUGAAGAAGGUUUUCGGAUCGUAAAACUCUGGUGUUAGAGAAGCGGUAUCUAACCAGAAAGCCACGGCUAACUACGUGCCAGCCGCCGCGGUAAUUC
rnacentral:rRNA from 1 species